CUAAACGCGUUUUCCCCUCUCUCAUAAGCGUAACAUCCUCACCGUUUCAACCUUCAACUUCAUCUCUUCCAGAAUUUCCUCACCGUCUUUGAUUUUCAUAUUCAAAAGCCCUUGAAUCCGAAAUCAACAAUGGCAAUCGACCUUCAAUCGUAUCUCUCAUGGCCACUUCCAAUUCAUGAGUCCUUCGAUCGCAUCUCUCAUGGCCCCUUCCAAUCGCAUCUUGAAGCCUCAAUCCAUCUCUUCCAGUCUCGACUCAGAGUCAGAGAGACAUCGGAGGAGGAGAUGCCACUCAAGGUCAAAUGGAGCGGCAAGGAUUACACGGUGCGAGUCUGCGGCGACGACACCAUUGUCGAACUCAAGCGUCGAAUCUGCGAGUUAACCAACGUUUUACCCAUUCGCCAGAAGUUCUUAUACCCUAAACUCGGUUCCAAGCUCAACAACCACUCUCUCAACUCUCUCUCAAUUCCUAAGUUCACCAUGAUCGGGACUACUGAAGAAGAUUUUUUAAUUGUUGAUCCAGUGGAGGCCCCUGAGAUUAUUGAUGAUCUUGAGCUUCCUCAAGAAGAAGCUAUUGACAUCAAAGACAUGGAGGUCAACAAGCACAAGUUGAUCAAGCGCAAUAAUCAGUUCAAGUGCUUUGAAGGAGGUUUGAUCUUUCCAAAGUGAAAUAUGACGUGUCUGAUGGAAGUUGGAUCAAGCUUCAGAACCCAAGUAGCAAGAAGGUUUAAUCAUUGAUUCCCUCUUUGGUUUUGGCUUGCAGUUGUAGGGCUUGAGACUCGAUGGUGUCACCGUGAACUUCUGAAGCAGUUGAAACUGCUUCCAUUUUCAGAAAUUAUGUUGUUCAAUUCACUUGGUGGUCAAAAGGUCCUAAAGUUAGCACAUUAAGAAGGUUUACAUUCAAAGUGGAUUGAAUGCAAAGCCCUUGGUAAUUGAGAGAAAUGAGAUCGACAUUCAAGGCAUCAUCAACAUGGUAGAUAGCAAGCAAGAGUUGGGGUUGUGUUGCAGGGAACAAAGACCUUUAUUAGCUCCGAAGCAGAUGCAAAAGUGCAUGGGCUCAGUUUCGAUCUCGCCUAACCAAAGCUAAUAAGGUGUAUCUUGAAGGACUGAAACGAAUUGGGAAGGGUUGAUGUAUGUUGAUAAUUGUUUAGAGAGGCUGAAGAAUUACCUGCAAUUUUGGCAGCAAGUAAGGGACAACCUGCUCAAACUGAUAAUGAUGUGGAUGCUUCCAAUGUAUAAUACAUAGAUAUUGGUGGAAAAUUUCAUACCAAGCUAUCCACGAUAGUUUUCCAGAAUAUGCCAAAAAGUUUUCUGUGGGGAACACAUGACUCCAAUAUGCAGUUCCUAUAAAAGAGUUUACUGCAGCUAGAUACUAAGCUGAAUGAGUUGGUUGUGUUUCAUGUUAGUUGCCUAUUAACCUAACUACUUGCUGCUAUCUCUUUAUCUUUCUUGCUCUGAUGAAUUACUAUUAGUAUAUAAGGAUGUGUCUCCGAUUUCUGAAAUUGUGUUCCUCCUUAUCAUGCUUAUUUUGAAUUGAUUCAUGCUUAUUUUGAAUUGAAAUAGAAGGUAUAACUGGAUAAUGGUGUUGAUGGGUGGUGAUGUGAAAAAUGGUUCUCUAGAGUGUGAAAGAGAAGAAGUUGAUUUGAUGGAGAUUGUGGGAGGGUUGAAGGAGUGUGGUGUACCCAUCCUCCCCUAAUUGAAGCUCUACUUUUUAAUGUGUAAUAGGGGGAAGCAAGAACAGAUAGAGAGGAGUUUUUUUUCCUGCAUCAUCACUCUCUUCACCCGCAAUGAAUGCAUUUUGUUACAAAUACCUUUUUCAUUGGAAAAUAAUUAGCCAAGUUUAUUAUUAUUAGUGAUCAUAAAUAGUCGUUUCGGUUGUUUGAUCCUUUAUUUUCCAAGCUUUGGCACUGAAAUUAUAAUUGUGUUCAUGGCUCCUUUUAGUUAUUUGGU